GCGAUUGCUGCCUUCGGGGCCCGGCUUGGCAGGUGGCGUGUCGGCAGGAGCAAGCGAAGCGAAGGCACCCCGACCCCGGCGGGAAGGGAGCAAGAGGAGGAGGAGGAAGAGGAGUCGACUGCGACGGGGCGAGACCCUCCCCACCGAGCUGGAGCUCCAGGAGGGGAAGAAAUCGAGUUUCCCACAUUUGGGGAAAUCACAGGGGUCAGCACAGCCAGAGUGCAACGGCCGAGCCCCACCCUGGGAGAACCUCCUUCAUGACCAAGGUUUCUCCCCUGCCAGCAGAACUUCUCCUCAACUUCCAUACUCUCAUAGAAGUGCUACACAGGCUGGCCAUUAAUUAAUGAAUCAUCUGCCUUUUACUGAGAAAGUAUUAUAUUCUAGUGGCUUUAUAUUUUAAUUUAAUGUGAUUUAUGGUUUCAUUGUUGUAACCUGUCCUCAGAUUAUUUAUUUCAUAGAAACUGAAAUAUAUAAAUUAAACAUUGUAUGGUGCUGGAAUUUUUUGACUAUAAGAGGACCAGUAUUAAACCCAAGUUUAAUAUUGGCUUGGAAGACCCUGUGAAAAAAGGAAUGCAACACAGCCCACUUAGUUAAUCACUUUCUUCCUCUGUUGAGUGAGAAGUAGGAAUAAAAUGCGUGUUUGUACCA
rnacentral:lncRNA from 1 species